AUGAAUUCGAUUACCUUCAACGAGGAAUACACCUGCUUUGAUCUGUUUCUCAAGCAAUCAAAGACUGAUCAGCUAGGGAAAGGUGUGACAAUUACUGUACAUGCAGUGCCCGGACCAACUUGCCCCGUUCAGGCAAUGAAAAACUAUGUUAACCUGCGCAAUCAGUCUCAGGCACGUGCCUCGGACCCAUUGUUCCUCACCAUUUUAUUCAUAAACUACAUCAAACUCUGGUGGCAGCAGGAUACGGCUACAAGAAAUUCAACGGACAUUCUUUUAGAAUCGGAGCGGCCACUGCUGCAGCUGCAGCUCAUGUACCAGACCAUAUGAUACAAGCCUUAGGACGCUGGAAAUCAGACUGCUACGCUCGGUAUAUCAGAGUCGAUAAGGGCUCCAUAGCGGCAGCUCAGCGAAAUACUGCUCAUACUUAGCAUGCUCAGCAGCCCGUUUAUCCUUGGCUAUUACAUUGUGUAUAUACUCUUUGUAGCAGUUUCUAUGCAAAUUCUUUGCUUCAGUGAUAGUGCACUAAUCUUAUGGUUGACUCUUACUUUGUCUGACCUUGUCAAUCUUCCUGUGCAGCCUCUCAAUGGUGUAACUCCUUCAGAGUAAGCCUUGGCGUUAUAGUCCAAGUCCAAUGUCGUUCAGGCGUAAUAAUCCUAUAUGCCAUUACUAGGUAUUAUUUUCUUUAUGGGGUAUUCUCAGCCAGCUGUAUCAUGGUAUUUUAUUUUAUCCACAUCUGGCUCGAAUUGUGGCCUUACUAUCCUCCUCAAAUUGCUGGGAUAGUUCCCCCUAAAGUUCAAUAAUCCACAUCCAACUUGUAGGCUACUUGUAUGCUCAUUUAUUGCACCAUUUUGUACCGUUCUGUGUAGUCACUCGCUGUGCUCUGAGGCUCAGAACUAUAGCCAGCGUUUGAUCACAAUGCUUGGGCAUGACCGAUGCUCGAUCAUGUACACACUUAGUGCCAACGAUUUGGCCAUGUCAUGUUAUUAUUUGCAAAUGGCCAAAUCGUUUCCAAUGCUUGGCAUGAUUGAUGCUCAAUCAUGGGCACCCGUAAUCAAACCUGAGAAUUCCCCAUACGCCAAAUUUAUAAUUUUGUAUUUUAUCAUAAUAAAUGUUUGAAACUA